GCCCAGACUCCUACGGGAGGCAGCAGUGAGGAAUAUUGGUCAAUGGCCGGAAGGCUGAACCAGCCAUGCCGCGUGAAGGUCAGUGCCCUAUGGGCGUUAAACUUCUUUUGUGCGGGAGCAAUAAUGGUCACGUGUGGCCAGACGAGAGUACCGUACGAAUAAGCAUCGGCUAACUCCGUGCCAGCAGCCGCGGUAAUACGGGGGAUGCAAGCGUUAUCCGGAUUUAUUGGGUUUAAAGGGAGCGUAGAUGGGUUGUUAAGUCAGUUGUGAAAGUUUGCGGCUCAACCGUAAAAUUGCAAUUGAUACUGGCAGCCUUGAGUACAGUUGAGGUAGGCGGAAUUCGUGGUGUAGCGGUGAAAUGCUUAGAUAUAACUUAGAACUCCGAUAGCGAAGGCAGCUUACCAGACUGCGACUGACGCUGAAGCACGAGAGCGUGGGUAGCGAACAGGAUUAGAUACCCUUGUAG
rnacentral:rRNA from 1 species